rnacentral:tRNA from 1 species
GUUUAUAUAGCUUAUAUUAAAGCGUAGCAUUGAAGGUGCUAAUAAAAUAUUUUUUUUGUAAGCA